GCCAGCUUGAUCAGUCUUGCUGGUCACAAUGUUUGCAUAACACUUCAAAACAAACAAGAAACUGCUUUGGAUCUGGCUCACUGGUAUGUCCUUCAACGGACCCGUGCACCUUUUGAAAGGUUCAGAGAUGGCUUGAGGUCUCUAGGUGUCCUAGAUGCUCUACAGACAUACCCUCUUCAGAUGAAGUGCCUUUUCGUGAAAGCUGGAAUGGCUCUCAGAGCAACUGAUAUGGAGAAUCUAUUCCAGAUCAUUCACUCCGAACGAGGGAGUAAUGCAUUUCAAGAUGAGUGCCGGACCCUGGCUUUCUGGCAAGACUAUCUUCAGGAGGCAGAAUUUGAAAAUGAUGUCUCUUUGGAAGAUAUUCUUGUUUUCUGCACUGGAUGUGACAGCAUACCAGCCCUGGGUUUUUCUCCAAAGCCAAGCCUUGAGUUCGUCACUAACUGCAGAUUUCCAGUGGCCAAUACUUGUGAAAAUAUCCUUCGUAUACCAGUUCAUGCAGUGUACACUACUUUCAAAUCAGACAUGGAUUUUGCAAUACGGAAUUCACCAGGAUUUGGAAGAGCAUGAUGUGUUUUCUUAAGGAUUGGUGACAUGAUGAGGAUUUGGGUUUUUUUCUAUU